UUGAUGGAGGAGGAGGACGCAGCCCGUCCCCUGGGUAGUUGAUGGAGGAGGGCGCAGUACGGUUGCUGAUCCCGUUAACUGUUUCAGGGGGUGUUUUAACGUCACGGAAUGAGAUCAAAUGUCCACCUCGCAGGUUGUGUAGAGAUGCAAGCAGGAGACUCUUGAGUGAGUGUUCUGGGGCCUGCGGAUAUACUGGGUGAGGGGAGUGCUGGUGCUGAGUUGGGCCAAGAGCCCGUGGGCGUGGGCUGUGCACCGGGUGAGGGGCUGAGGCGUGUCCGCAGCAGUACCUGGUGGUCGACCCCUUCUCCUGGCUGUGUGGUUGCCUGCCCUGCCUCUGCCUCUCAGAAUGUGAGUCUUCCGGGCUCCAGGGACAGGGUUGCCUGUGGACGGCACCUGUGCCUCUCCACGUCUGAGCUCUCAGGCGUCUGGGGUGCGCGGCUGCCCUUUUCCCCAGGUCCGUGCCAGGUGUGGUGGGGUCAGUGGUGUGGCUCAUGGGAAUCGGGAGUGGAUCCUCGCUGGGCUCUCAGGCGCCUCGGGCACGUAGCUGCCCUUGUCCCCAGGCCCCUGCUCGGUGUGGUGGGGGCUCAGUGGCGCAGAGCAGCCACCCAGAGUGGGGUCCGUGGCAGCAUGGUGUGGCCUCCUGGGUGGAGGUGGCCCCUGCAGUGGAGUACGUGUGUGGUCCCCCGCAGGGAUUGCAGUGUGUCCUCUCCCAGCUGGGAUCAGGUGGCCUCAGCACCGUCGGCCCUAGAGAGGCCCCGUGUAUUGUCCGGGUGAAGAAGGCGUUCGAUGCUCCCAGGUUCUAACUGAGCGCUGUCUGUCGACUCUUCAGGUUCAGACGCGGAAAGAAGAGCCUCUGCCCCCGGCUACGAGCCAAAGCAUUCCGACCUUCUACUUCCCCAGAGGACGCCCGCAGGACUCCGUCAACGUGGAUGCCGUCAUCAGCAAGAUCGAGAGCACCUUCGCCCGGUUCCCCCACGAGAGGGCCACCAUGGACGACAUGGGCCUGGUGGCCAAGACGGUGUUUUAACAUCACGGGAUGAGAUCAAAUGUCCACCUCGCAGGUUGUGUAGAGAUGCAAGCAGGAGACUCUUGAGUUCAGACGCGGAAAGAAGAGCCUCUGCCCCCGGCCACGAGCCAAAGCAUUCCGACCUUCUACUUCCCCAGAGGACACCCGCAGGACUCCAUCAACGUGGAUGCCGUCAUCAGCAAGAUCGAGAGCACCUUCGCCCGGUUCCCCCACGAGAGGGCCACCAUGGACGACAUGGGCCUGGUGCACAAGGCCUGCGGCUGCCCCCUCUACUGGAAGGGGCCGCUCUUCUAUGGCGCCGGCGGGGAGCGCACGGGCUCCGUGUCCGUCCACAAGUUCGUCGCCAUGUGGAGAAAAAUCCUCCAGAACUGCCACGACGACGCGGCCAAGUUCGUCCAUCUGCUCAUGAG
rnacentral:lncRNA from 1 species